CAUCCACGCGGCCCUGGCCGUUCUUGCCGCCGUGUCGACCAUCCGGUGCACCCCCGAUGAGGGUAAGACCGCUCCCGACCCUGUAGACAAACCCUAUCCCUCACUUAUCCUCUUGCUCAUCCUCUCCCUCUCGGUUUUGCUCGCUCCCGAGCUCUCGUCGACGCGCCGACGCCAUCCUCGCGGCCACUGGCGUCCUCGGCGAUCAGGAGGUUCUCCAGGAGCUCCGCCAUCAUCGACUCUUUCGCCUACCUCCGCUGAAUCAAGCUAAGAGGCACCGUACGCUCGGGAUCGAGUUGGUUUCCGCCACGGCCGUCGCAUCUUGCUGUCGAGCUUGACGCAUCCGGCCACCCCCGCAGCUCCUGACCUUGUCCACAAGCUCCGCGAUGACAGAUCCGAGGAGCCAGAUGACGCCACUGAUGACUACUACUUCCCGGAGGAUGUCUACUACUACGCGAAGACCGCAGACGACUAGGAGUAGUUAGGAGGCUCCCAGGCAGGAGGCCUUACCUUUUCGAUCGAUGUUGCUUUUGUGCUAGCCUUCUUAAGGCAAACUUGUCUAACUUAUGUCUGUACUCAGAUAUUGUUGCUUCUGCUGACUCUUGUGUAUUCGAGCUUAUGUAUUCGAGCCCUCGAGGCCCCUGGCUUGUAAUAUAAAGCUUGUAUUAUUUUCAUUUGUGUCUAGAGCUGUGUUGUGAUAUCUUACCAUGAGUCCUUGAUCUUGAUCGUACA